CAUUUUACCAAUCCCUCCUGCGCCAGCGGGCUGAUGCCGCGAUCGGCGCGGUCACCUAAUCCGGUAGGGCUAAUAAUAGAUAAAUCUCGUGGUGACUGGGUUGUUUGAUAUUUAUCUGCCAGUGCGGUAAUUAAUGUUGUCGCUUCGAGAAUACCGCCGCCUGCGCCCAGAAUACAUAAAGUGGCCUCAUCUGGAAUAUAAUUUACUGCUUCUUGUGCAGAGAGCACGGGAACGCGGCCAUUAAUGCGUGAUGGCUUAUUGAUUUUCAUAUUUACUCCACUAUUA
rnacentral:misc_RNA from 1 species